GAGAGUAUACGAUGGACUAUAUUUGACUAUAGUUCUAAUUGAUUCAUUCGAAUGAAGUACAAGAUGACAAAAUCUAGUACGUAUACAUGCACGUAUUGUCACCCAUGCAGCAUGACGUUUGUCAUCCAUGCAUGCGAUCAUGCAUGCCCGGAGAGUGGUAAAUUGAGUUGCAGCUGUAUGUUGAGGUCGUCGUUGUUGCCUCCAUUCAUGUAGGUGCAUGGUCGCCGGCUGAAGAUUAUAUACGCACAACGAAUCCGAUCCGUCGACUCCCAGCCAGCAAGACUCACGAUGCCGCCGAUGAUCUGGGAAGAC
rnacentral:lncRNA from 1 species